rnacentral:rRNA from 1 species
UGGGGGAGUAUUGGUCAAUGGAGGAAACUACUGAACCAGCGACGCCGCGUGAGGGAAGAAGGUCUUCGGAUUGUAAACCUUUGUUGACAGGGACGAAGGAAGUGACGGUACCUGAUGAAUAAGCCACGGCUAACUACGUGCCAGCAGCCGCGGUAAUACGUAGGUGGCGAGCGUUAUCCGGAUUUACUGGGUGUAAAGGGCGCGUAGGCGGGGAUACAAGUCAGGUGUGAAAUCUAUGGGCUUAACUCAUAAACUGCACUUGAAACUGUAUCUCUUGAGUGUCGGAGAGGUAGACGGAAUUCCUAGUGUAGCGGUGAAAUGCGUAGAUAUUAGGAGGAACACCAGUGGCGAAGGCGGUCUACUGGACGAUAACUGACGCUGAGGCGCGAAAGCGUGGGGA